GCAAACUUGGUCAUUUAGAGGAAGUAAAAGUCGUAACAAGGUUUCCGUAGGUGAACCUGCGGAAGGAUCAUUAUUGAAUAUUCUCGAUGGGUUGUAGCUGGCUCCUCGGAGCAUGUGCACGCCUGUCUUGACCCUAUUCAUCCACCUGUGCACCUAUUGUAGUCUCAUUCGAGGGGUUGUCGGUCGCAAGGCCGGAUGUGAGGGGGAAUGCAGCGUGAAAGCGUAGCUUCCCUCUGAAGUUGGCCCUUCGGUGGACUAUGUCUUUUUUCACAAACCAUGUAGCAUGUUGCAGAAUGUAUUCAAUGGGCCAUUGUGCCUAUAAAACCUUAUACAACUUUCAGCAACGGAUCUCUUGGCUCUCGCAUCGAUGAAGAACGCAGC
rnacentral:misc_RNA from 1 species